AAGGGGCAAUUUCUAAAAGAGGAUAUCAAAUGCACAAUAAAUAUAUGAAAGAUGUUCAACUUUUUAUUCUUCGAGACUACUGGUGGAGGACAAGGCGGAGGAAAGCCCAGGAAGCCUGUAUACGCUGUAAAGACCCUUUAAGUAAUAGCAAGAACUGGAAACAAUUCAAAUGCCCAGGAAGAAUAGGCUGGAAAAAUAAAUGGUAGUAUAUUGAUGCAGUGGAAUAUCUAACGGAAAAACAGACAAGCCAACAGAACCUGCAGCUACAAACGGCAACAAUAUGGAUGGAUGGAUUUUAUGAACAUAAUGUUGAGCAAACGAAGCCAGG
rnacentral:lncRNA from 1 species